rnacentral:tRNA from 1 species
GGGGAUUUGGCUGAAUGGUAGAGCGCUUGCCUAGGAAGCACAAGGUCCUGGGUUCGGUCCCCAGCCCCG